UUACGUAGGUGUGCGAUUCCCCCGCCCACCGAAUUGAUCGACAGCUGUGCGUAUUAACAUAUCCUGAAUUUGCCGUUUCCGCCAUUAUCAGCGUGUACGUCGAAGCGAUGCCACCAAGAGAACACCAUUGUGCUAUUUUAGGAUGUAAGGCUCAGCACAAGAGCCUUCACCGUCUUCCUGCAAAUGAGCAACAGAGGCUUAAGUGGCUGAGUUUUAUCUUUGAAGACAAGGUGCCUGAAAAUGUACCAAAACUGUUGUAUGUUUGCGCUAACCACUUUAGCGUAGACUGCCUCGAGAACGCGGGACAAUACAACUCCGGAUUCGCGAGUAAAUUGUUUUUGAAAACUGGAUCAGUUCCUACAAUACGUGAUCCUGCCUCACUUCAAGCCACGACGUCGACAAAGAGCAACAAGGUGGAUGUUGCUUGCCAGACCUUUUCACACAUCUUUACACAGUGUUGGUACCCAGUUGUCUUUUAGGAUGCUUCAGGCUAAACGCAGGAGUACAAGUAAGUUAAAAUUUCUCAGUUUAUUUUAAGUUGCUGCAUUAGAAACGUGUUUUAUUAUCUUUAUAAACGUGCAAUGAGAUUAAUCAUAAAAUUACACUAUAGGUGUCCAGACAACAGUAUCCAGUUUUGAACUGACUGUACCAUUAGCGUCCUCUACUGCGUUUAUGACUUCAACACCCCUCAAACCUUCACUAAAAAGACCUCGUCUGGAGCUGGAGGAGGAGGAGGAAGAAGAAGAAGCCGAAGAGACUUUGACAGUCAAAAAUUAUAGCCCAAGACUCGGAUGUGACAUUUGACCCUGAAGAGGAAUGCACAUCUGCAACUGAACCAACAGACUUGUCAAUCCAAGAAUGCCCAGUUCAUAACAUUGCCAAGUUCAUUGUCUAUGAAACAUGCCUCAUGGAGCUCUUCAGUGACUGCCCAGUGUGUCAGAGGAGAUGUGAUGUAAAGUCACAAAGGCUUGGGACAUUUCUGAGCGUACAGCAAGUCUGCCCACACUGCGAGUUUGUAAGAAAAUGAAACAGUCAGCCAAUUAUUGGUAGUACUCCAGCUGGCAACCUGCAUCUUUCUGCUGCAGUCUACUUGAGCGGUGCAUAAUUUUUUGUAGUUGAAAAGGUAUUUGCUGCAAUGAAACUACACAUUUUUAAAUAUAAUUCAUUUCGCCGUCAUGCAAGACUUUGCAUUGAACCUGCUAUUGUCCACAAGUGGAGAAAUUGGCAGAGUGAAAUGCUAGAACAGCUCAGUCGAAGAGAGAAUGUGAUUGUUGGAGGAGAUAUGAGGGCUGACUCCCCAGGUAUUUAGUCAAAAGAUUUGAUUUCCAAUUCAAUACAGUCUAAUAAAAAAUAAAUAUGAAAUACAUUAUAAUUAUUCCAAAAAUGUGUUUAAAAUAAUUAUGUACGGUUUUUCUUGAAGGUCACUUGGCCAAGUAUGGGAGUUAUACAAUAAUGGACCUUGCAACUAACACAGUGGUCGACCUACAGUUAGUCCAGGUAAUACAGAAAAGU